rnacentral:rRNA from 1 species
AGCGAACGCUGGCGGCAGGCCUAACACAUGCAAGUCGAACGAGACCUUCGGGUCUAGUGGCGGACGGGUGAGUAACACGUGGGAACGUGCCUUUAGGUUCGGAAUAACUCAGGGAAACUUGUGCUAAUACCGAAUGUGCCCUUCGGGGGAAAGAUUUAUCGCCUUUAGAGCGGCCCGCGUCUGAUUAGCUAGUUGGUGAGGUAAUGGCUCACCAAGGCUACGAUCAGUAGCUGGUCUGAGAGGAUGAUCAGCCACAUUGGGACUGAGACACGGCCCAAACUCCUACGGGAGGCAGCAGUGGGGAAUCUUGCGCAAUGGGCGAAAGCUUGACGCAGCCAUGCCGCGUGUAUGAUGAAGGUCUUAGGAUUGUAAAAUACUUUCACCGGUGAAGAUAAUGACUGUAGCCGGAGAAGAAGCCCCGGCUAACUUCGUGCCAGCAGCCGCAGUAACAC